CUGGCUGGCUGUCUGCUGGUGGUGGUGGUGGUGGUGGUGGGUGAGAUCUAAGCGUGCAGGAGGCGAAAGUGCCCGUGCUGCUGGCCGGAUUAAAAGAGUAAGCCCAAUGAAAAUUGUGGCUUACUUUCUGAAUACUGAUGCAUAAGAUUAAACUCCACCAGGAAAGAAGAGGAGCUACAUUUUCCCUGCAGGAAGGAGGAUCUGUGUGUAUUAUAUUCCCUUCUGGAAGGAGGCAUUUAAGAACAUAUGAAAGGGUACCACUUUCAGAUAAAAACAUGGACCUGAUUGGCAUCAUCCAGUAUCCAUGGAAACGUGAGUCCUCCUGUUGGAAUUGACUGAAUUCCCCAUGAAUUAGCAUCAGGAUCUUUUCUGUUAACUUCAGCCUGUUCCUCACCUCCCCCGCCCCUCUCCUUCUUUCUAAGCGCUUUGCAAGAUUGGCAUUAUCCCGUAGUAGUGUCACAGCCUGCAGUCAUUUAAUGCCUCUUCUUGUGGGGUCAGGAUUCCACGCCCAAGUGCAUUUAGCAGCAAUGUGAUCUGUGAAAAUAUGCAGUUCCUACACACUGAUGUUAUUCAGAGUGAAGAGGUACCAGUUACCAAGCAAGUCAAAAGUAGCUGCACAUAAAUCAAUAGAACUACUCUAGCAUCAGUAGAAGACAGGAUUCUCUGGAAUAGACAAUG